rnacentral:tRNA from 1 species
AGUGGCUCAAUUGGCAGAGCAGCGGUCUCCAAAACCGCAGGUUGGGGGUUCGAAUCCCUCCU